rnacentral:rRNA from 1 species
ACCUCCUUGUAAUGGAAUUAAGAGCUACUCAAAGGGGGUACAGCUCCUUUGACAAAGAAUACAACCUCCCCUAGCGGAUAACUACCACCCCUUUCUCCCUUGUGGGCCUUAAAGCAGCCACCAACAAAGAAUGCGUCAAAGCUCAUACCUCUAAAAAUCCAGAAAAACACACGACUCCCUUACUUACAGCAGGCCAACCUAUAACAAUAGAAGAAUUAAUGCUAGAAUGAGUAACCUGAGGGCCCCCCCUCCAAAGCGUAAACUUACAUCAAUACAUUAUUAACAGACCACUUAUACCCCCACUUCAACAAGAACACAUAUUCCUCUCCCUGUUAAACCCACCCAGGAACGCACACUGGACGAUUAAAAUCUGCAGAAGGAACUCGGCAAACCCCAAGGCCCGACUGUUUACCAAAAACAUAGCCUUCAGCCAACAACAAGUAUUGAAGGUGAUGCCUGCCCAGUGACAUCAAAGUUCAACGGCCGCGGUAUCCUAACCGUGCAAAGGUAGCGCAAUCAAUUGUCCCAUAAAUCGAGACUUGUAUGAAUGGCUAAACGAGGUCUUAGCUGUCUCCUGCAGAUAAUCGGUGAAAUUGAUACUCUCGUGCAAAAGCGAGAAUGUGAACAUAAGACGAGAAGACCCUGUGGAACUUAAAAAUCAACGACCACCUAACUAAAUACUCCCCCAUACGGGCCCACCCACCAUCAUUAGCGCCUGGCCAGUAUUUUUUGGUUGGGGCGACCUUGGAGAAAAAAAAAUCCUCCAAAUAACCCAGGCCACAACCCUUCACUAAGAGCUACAACUCAAAGUACUAAAAGUCACUAGACCCAAUACAAUUGAUCAAUGGACCAAGCUACCCCAGGGAUAACAGCGCAAUCCCCUCCGAGAGCCCAUAUCGACAAGGGGGUUUACGACCUCGAUGUUGGAUCAGGACAACCUAAUGGUGCAGCCGCUAUUAAGGGUUCGUUUGUUCAACGUUUAAAAGUCCUACGUGAUCUGAGUUCAGACCGGGGCAAU